AUUGAACGCUGGCGGCAUGCUUUACACAUGCAAGUCGAACGGCAGCGCGGGCUUCGGCCUGGCGGCGAGUGGCGAACGGGUGAGUAAUGCAUCGGAACGUGCCCAGUAGUGCGGGAUAGCCCGGCGAAAGCCGGAUUAAUACCGCAUACGACCUGAGGGUGAAAGCGGGGGACCGAAAGGCCUCGCGCUAUUGGAGCGGCCGAUGUCGGAUUAGCUAGUUGGUGGGGUAAAGGCUUACCAAGGCGACGAUCCGUAGCUGGUCUGAGAAGACGACCAGCCACACUGGGACUGAGACACGGCCCAGACUCCUACGGGAGGCAGCAGUGGGGAAUUUUGGACAAUGGGGGCAACCCUGAUCCAGCCAUGCCGCGUGCGGGAAGAAGGCCUUCGGGUUGUAAACCGCUUUUGUUCGGGAAGAAAUCCUCUGGGCUAAUACCCCGGGGGGAUGACGGUACCGGAAGAAUAAGCACCGGCUAACUACGUG
rnacentral:rRNA from 1 species